CCUACGGGAGGCAGCAGUGAGGAAUAUUGGUCAAUGGACGAGAGUCUGAACCAGCCAAGUAGCGUGAAGGAUGACUGCCCUAUGGGUUGUAAACUUCUUUUAUAAAGGAAUAAAACGCGGCACGUGUGCCUUUUUGCAUGUACUUUAUGAAUAAGGAUCGGCUAAAUCCGUGCCAGCAGCCGCGGUAAUACGGAGGAUCCGAGCGUUAUCCGGAUUUAUUGGGUUGAAAGGGAGCGUAGAUGGGUUGUUAAGUCAGUUGUGAAAGUUUGAGGCUCAACCGUAAUAUUGCAAUUGAUACUGGCAGUCUAGAGUACAGGUGAGGUAGGCGGAAUGCGUGGUGUAGCGGUGAAAUGCUUAGAUAUCACGAAGAACCCCGAUUGCGAAGGCAGCUUACUAAUCUGUGACUGACAUUGAGGCUCGAAAGUGUGGGUAUCAAACAGGAUUAGAUACCCUAGUAGUC
rnacentral:rRNA from 1 species